GACGAACGCUGGCGGCGUGCUUAACACAUGCAAGUCGAACGGAAAGGCCCUGCUUUUGUGGGGUGCUCGAGUGGCGAACGGGUGAGUAACACGUGAGUAACCUGCCCUUGACUUUGGGAUAACUUCAGGAAACUGGGGCUAAUACCGGAUAGGAGCUCCUGCUGCAUGGUGGGGGUUGGAAAGUUUCGGCGGUUGGGGAUGGACUCGCGGCUUAUCAGCUUGUUGGUGGGGUAGUGGCUUACCAAGGCUUUGACGGGUAGCCGGCCUGAGAGGGUGACCGGCCACAUUGGGACUGAGAUACGGCCCAGACUCCUACGGGAGGCAGCAGUGGGGAAUAUUGCACAAUGGGCGGAAGCCUGAUGCAGCAACGCCGCGUGCGGGACGACGGCCUUCGGGUUGUAAACCGCUUUCGCCUGUGACGAAGCGUGAGUGACAGUAAUGGGUAAAGAAGCUCCGGCUAACUACGU
rnacentral:rRNA from 1 species